rnacentral:rRNA from 1 species
UACGUAGGUGGCAAGCGUUAUCCGGAUUUAUUGGGCGUAAAGGGAACGCAGGCGGUCUUUUAAGUCUGAUGUGAAAGCCUUCGGCUUAACCGGAGUAGUGCAUUGGAAACUGGGAGACUUGAGUGCAGAAGAGGAGAGUGGAACUCCAUGUGUAGCGGUGAAAUGCUUAGAUAUCACGAAGAACUCCGAUUGCGAAGGCAGCCUGCUGGACUGUAACUGACGCUGAUGCUCGAAAGUGUGGGUAUCAAACAGG